rnacentral:lncRNA from 1 species
CUCCACCGUUUUCAUCCAGGUAAAAUCAGAUCCAUGUGGGGAAUGGAGGGGAAGGAGAAUCGUAAAAGGCCAAGUGAAGUCUGAGGGCCAGAGGACGCAGGGGAAGGGAGUCUAUAGACCCACACGUCUGCUUGUUUAUUAUAAAGUCAUCCACGACAUGCCUCUGACAUGCCAGGCCUCGUACACAGUCCCAGGAUGCAGUGUGAACCACGGCAAAGCCCUCCACUCCCCAGGACAGUCCUUAAGUCUCGAAGACAGACAUGCAGGUAAGAAAGACUCAGAAAAGGGAGAGAAGACGGAGCCUGUCAUGACACAGAGCCUCAGCAGAGGAUGGUCUCCAGCGUCAGGCACUGAUGACAUUCGCUGAGCCACAGCCCAUGCCUAGAAGGUUUCCGAUGUUCAUAUAGACCACAGACCUUCUCCAGAAGUCACCACCAACAGGGGCUACAAGAUCACUGACAAAGAAAUAUAUCAGAGUGCCAUUCUAACAAAAUAGAUUCUUAACAAAACACGCUGUGACAGAGGCAGAGUAAUUGUAAGAAGGGCAUUGCAGGAAUAAUUUUAUUGCCUCUGUACUGCUCCCCCCCAAGAAAACCGCACGUGUCUGUGAAUAUCUUUGCAACUUCCUAUAUAAUUCUAGUAAUUCUAAUAUAAAUAUUUAAUAGACUGUGCAGGUCAUUGGAAAUCUUCAAAUUCCAGUUAAUUUGGAUACUGUACUAAACAUGAUUACUGUCCAUGUGGCUUAGGCUUCAAGGGAGAAAAUUAAAUAAUGGGAUGUCAUUUGAUAUGGUCUGGCUGUGUCCCCACCCAAAUCUCAUCUUGAAUUGUAGCUCCCAUAAUUCCCACAUGUCAUGGGAGGACUCAGUGGGAGGUAAUUGAAUCAUGGGGGUGGGUCUUUCCCAGGCUGUUCUUGUGAUAGUGAAUAAAUCUCAUGAGAUCUGAUGGUUUUAUAAACGGGAGUUCCCCUGCACAAGCUCUCUUGCCUGCCACCAUGUAAAACGUGACUUUGCUCCUCUUUUGCCUUGUGCCAUGAGUGUGAGGCCUCCCCAGCCAUGUGGAGCUGAGUCCAUUAAAUCUCUUUCCUUUAUAAAUUACCCAGUCUUGGGUACGUUUUUAUUAGCAGCAUGAGAACAGACUAAUACAUUGUGUAUAUAAAGAAUAUCAAACGUGUGAUAAGAAUGCAUUUGAUUAGUUGAAGAGAGAGCUCCUGGUGUUGGUUCAGUGAGCAGUGCUGCUGACCUGCAGCCUCGGGGGGCCCAGGGAGAGAACAGGCCUUUCUGCCUCUGGGUGUCCCACAGACCUCAGCACCUACCCCAUGCCCAGCCUGGACCCUGCAACUCAGUCAGGACCCUGCUUAUCAAUCCUGGGCACUUGCUAAGUUUUCUCUUCAGCUGCAUGCAGUGCACAGUUAAUUACUAAGAUGAGAAAAUGCCCCUUUCCAUGGAAAUUAUGGAAAUGCUAUCAGACGUUAAGGAUUAAUGAGUAUGAACAGGUGUGAGAUUAGAUGCAGCUGAAAAGAACUCGGCAUGGUGGCUGGCUGCUUGUUACAGUCAUUGUUAAAGCUGCCAAAACAAAACAAGAAAUUCUAUUGCUCAGGUG